CUACGUUGAUAGAUACAGAUCUUAACUGUACAUUUUGUUUUCACAGACUAACUUUGCCUCUUAAUGGGGUCGGGACCUCCUCUUUGCUCGGAGCUGUCUGCAAGUCAUUCAAGCAAUUAGGUAAACUCUAGGUUGCUGUCCAUAGAGGACCGGUUGGCUGCUCUGGAGUCGAAAAACUGUGCGGGAGAGACAAACUUUAAGAAGAGAAGACUGGUGCACAAUCCCAAGCUUGCGGAAGCAGUACGCCGUCUUCACAACUCGGAGAAAAAUUGCAGGCGCUACGAACCGGAGCAAGGAUUAAUCUCGCCUCAUAAUGAGGCGGUGACCUCCUAUUUGCUCGGAGCAAUAUCUGGAAGUCCAGAUUUACACGAUGUUGAUAAAGACGACAUUGUGUCCGCCUGUAAGACAUAUUACGAGACGGUAUGCAGGAGCUUUAGAUAUACCCAGCCAGAAAACUCAUUGCGGGCGGAAGCUGCGAAGAGUUCAGCUCGGAGUCGAGCGAGAAGAAAGAGGCUGCUGGAAUCGAGACAGAGUGUGCUAGCAGAUGACGAGGUGGAACUCUGGA